CCUACGGGAGGCAGCAGUAGGGAAUCUUCCACAAUGGGCGAAAGCCUGAUGGAGCAACGCCGCGUGGAUGAAGAAGGUCUUCGGAUCGUAAAACCCUGUUGUUAGAGAAGAAAAUGCGUGAGAGUAACUGUUCACGUUUCGACGUUAUCUAACCAGAACGCCACGGCUAACUACGUGCCAGCAGCCGCGGUAAUACGGGGGAUGCGAGCGUUGUCGGGUUUUAUUGGUAUUAAAGGUGGCGUGGGCGGAAGGUUAAGUCAGCGGUAAAGUGUCGGUGCGCACCACCGACCUGCCGUUGAAACUGAUGUUCUUGAGUGAGCGAGAGGUAUGCGGAAUGCGUGGUGUAGCGGUGAAAUGCAUAGCUAUCACGAAGAACUCCGAUUGCGAAGGCAGCCUACCGGCGCUCAACUGACGCUGAGGCACGAAAGCGUGGGGAUCGAACAGGAUUAGAUACCCGGGUAGUC
rnacentral:rRNA from 1 species